AGUGGAGUUUCUGGAUAAAAGAUGUAGCAUGACAUUUUUAUGCUAUAGAAACUCAAGAAGUUCAUUUAAAAAAUACCUCCACAAAGUCUAUGAUGCCAUUGCAACAGCUGCCCCACAAAGCUAGGCCACGCCCCCAUGAAACAGCAGUGGUUUCUCCCAUUUCAGUGGUGGAGCCUGAGAAGGACCUUCCUGACUCAUGACAAGUGCCUGCUUUCUUUCUGGCUCUCUGGGCCCAAAUCUGAGCAGCUGAGUUGGCAGGUGGAUGUGAACAGCCUGAGAAACUUCUUCUGAAUCAGACCUCCCAGUCAGACUCCCAACUCACAGACUACAAUAAAGUGAGUUUAUUGGUAAGGAUAGCUAGAUUUCAGAAUCUCUGGUAGAGAGGCAGUGGUUGUAGCUCUGCCUGUCAUAGCUCUGUCCCAUCGGCUGGCUCUGCAGCACUUCUGCUGAUUCAAAGUCUGCCAAGUAGACUUUAUUCCAAAAUGUAUCAGAGAGAAAAAGCCCCACAUAAUUCAGACAAAACAGCAAAACCUAAUUUUACAUUUUAACAACAGUGGGUUUCAUAUAUACAUUGACAAACAGCCACAACAACCGAAUUAUGAGAGCAGAGUGUUUGCCUCACCCUUCAUCUCACUGUUUCCUUCACAACCACUCUCCCCAAUCCAAUCUACACAAAUCCUGUAUGUCUAGGUUAGCACUGCCUUUGCUAGAAUUUAGUAUGAUUAAGUUUAUCUAAUACUUGCAAAACUUCUGUCCCACUGCUGAACUUCUGAAUUGAGGAUAAUGAUGUUCUCUGGUAAGGCUUUUCCUGGUUUCUGACUGUGGCUAGUGUCAGCUGCUGUCCUUCUCCAGCUCUGCGUGCCUGGGCCAAGCCCCAGAUAUGUUAACACAGGACCAUCUUGGGGAGUUAGAUCUUGCCCUGGACACAGACUUUGGCCAGGCAGCCAGUAAUGGUGCAGGGAUGAGAUCAGCUUUUGUAAUUUAUUUAAGAAAACUUUUAUUCAACCUAACCUGUCAAGUGUAUUAUCAUAAAGUAAUUAAUAUUCCACUUAACACAAUAGAUGCUGUAACAUGUGAUGCAGUUUCUGUCAGUCUUCAUCACUUCCAUUUUAACUGCUGUAAAUGUUUUAUUGAAUUAACACAUUUCCAUUUAGUGGCAUCAAUCUGCUCAUGUCAUUGGUUCCUUGUGAUUGUCACCCCCUUCCUUCCACGAAGCUUAAUGCUGUACACAUAAAUGUGCUCUACUGACAUGUUUGUUUCUACCUAACAACUCAGGCAUCACCCCAAAGUCUUCUGAUGUGCUGUGAACCUUCAAGUUUCCCUCAAUACCCUAGCUUAGCUACCUCAUACAGUUUUAUGUUUUUCUUCCCCUUAAAGUUUUGGAUUCAAAGUAUUUUAUUAUUUCUCUCUUUUGUUGCUUCUUUAGGAACAUCAAUACACACUUUGAAAUGUGUGGUUUAUUUCUGAAUAUUUGGAAUUUUAUGAUAUACUUCAGUUUCUGGUUUCCGGUUGUCAUCAGAGAGCAUAGGUGUUAUAGUCUAACCUCUCAUAUUCACAGUUAGGCGACUCAUUUUACUUCUGAGCAGGUAGCUUAUCCCACUUGGUAUUUUAGAUGUGUUUGGAGAACAUAGGUUUUGUUUAUUUGAGUUGAUUGAAAUUUUGUUCUAGGAAACUGUCUGUACAUUUUCUAACAUCUAUGACUACUGAGAUACAUGGCUCUACCAUCUAGGCUCUAGUUACUUCUCUGUAGACACUGGAAGCUCUAUGCUCAGGUGCACAAACAGUUGGAAAUGGGAUAUUCCUCUGACUCCUUUGGAAAUAUGCAUUUUCUCAUCCAUCAGUGGGCUCACCUGAGAGCCUAUUUGACUGACAGACAGUCAUCCAGCCUUUCACUGUAUACAUAUUUAUGAUCAUUUUCCCUUAGCCUUUCUGUGUCUCUAUUUCAAGUUCAUUUCCUAUGGCCUAUCCUUGAGUGUUGUUUCUCUGUAUAAACCACAAUGUCACUUUCCAGUGAUCACUUCUCCAUUUGCAUUUACCGAGCACUGUAACAACACAGGUUCAUGUUCCCCAUCUGUAUCACUGAAUCUUCUUCCCUGUGCCUUGCAUUCUUUGGUGUUACAGAUUUGUAAUAUUUCCUUGUGUCGGAUUAUUAAUUAUACUCUCACUUCAUUUUUUUGGACUAACUGCCAUAGGCCUUCAAAUAUGCAUGUUCUAUUAAAUUCUAAUUUCAUAUAAUUGUAGGCUGCUCACUGUGUAACGGUACACUUAUAACACAAUGUCAGUGUCCUCUGACUUGUUUGCUUUGUUACAUAUUUUAUUUUCACGUUAUAGAAUUAAUAGUCAUUUGUUCAUACAGUCUCAAUAUUUAAAAAAAAAAAAAAAAAAAAAAAAAAAAAAAGACAGUUCACCGGUCUCAAACACCCAGGAUUAUAGAUAUGGGCCACCAAACUCAAUACUUUGUUUUUUGAGAACUUUUUCACCAGUUAUAAAUUGUUGGUUGGGAGUUGCAAUUAGUUUGUUUGUGUAUUUGCUUUUAUCUAU
rnacentral:lncRNA from 1 species